rnacentral:rRNA from 1 species
GACGAACGCUGGCGGCGUGCUUAACACAUGCAAGUCGAACGAUGAAGCUGGAGCUUGCUCCGGUGGAUUAGUGGCGAACGGGUGAGUAACACGUGAGCAAUCUGCCCUUGACUCUGGGAUAACUGCGGGAAACUGUAGCUAAUACCGGAUACGAGAUUUGGAGGCAGCUCCGGAUCUGGAAAGAAUUUCGGUCAAGGAUGGGCUCGCGGCCUAUCAGCUUGUUGGUGAGGUAGUGGCUCACCAAGGCGACGACGGGUAGCCGGCCUGCGAGGGUGACCGUCCACACUGGGACUGGGACACGGCCCAGACUCCUACGGGAGGCAGCAGUGGGGAAUAUUGCACAAUGGGCGAAAGCCUGAUGCAGCAACGCCGCAUGAGGGAUGAAGGCCUUCGGGUUGUAAACCUCUUUUAGUAGGGAAGAAGCGAAAGUGACGGUACCUACAGAAAAAGCACCGGCUAACUACGUGCCAGCCGCCGCCGUAA